UACGGAGGGUCCGAGCGUUAUCCGGAAUCAUUGGGUUUAAAGGGUCCGUAGGCGGGUUGUUAAGUCAGUGGUGAAAGUUUGCAGCUCAACUGUAAAAUUGCCAUUGAUACUGAUGAUCUUGAAUUAGUAUGAAGCGGUUAGAAUAAGUAGUGUAGCGGUGAAAUGCAUAGAUAUUACUUAGAAUACCAAUUGCGAAGGCAGAUCGCUAAUACUAUAUUGACGCUGAGGGACGAAAGCGUGGGGAGCGAACAGG
rnacentral:rRNA from 1 species